rnacentral:misc_RNA from 1 species
GUUAUUUGCCUGAAUUUUGAUUAAAUUAUCAUAAUCCACAAUACUUGUGCUUCCAUUUCCGUCUCCGGCGAACUUCUCCGUCUCCGGCGAAAUAAGACUUAAAAAAACAAAGCAUGGCAGAGCAAAUCCUCAGCUUGGGAGUCCUCAUAGAUGUUGUGGAUGAAGAAUGGAUGCGAGAUACCCUGCCUGCUGAUGAUCUCCCGUUACCACCCGUACUACUUCCUAAGACUGAUGACAAUGAAGAUUCAAAUCAAGAGGCUCCACAAGUUGAUGGAGAUACAUGGCACGACCUUGCAUUGGAAAAUCACCGACAUUAAACUGAUCGAGCUUGUGGUUUGAUUUGCAACCACUAUCAUCAUAUGUAUUGUUGGUCAUGUACUUGUACGAAAACUAAGUUCAACUGUUCUAUCUCUUGAUAUAUUAUGUUGGUUAGUAGGUAUGAGUGCAUUGCGUGGUGUGUGGCAUGUCGUGGAGUUUGAACCUUUCUACAUACAAAAAAAACCCGCAAUUUAAGUGGAGAAAGUUUAGAGGAUCGAACCCAUUAUUCACCGAGUUUUAAACUCUGUGCAGCUAUAGCUUGUAUUUCUGCAAGGGUCUUGUUUGAAAUAUAAUGAGACUUGCUAUUAUAUGUCAUCAACCAAGCUA